AUUAGCGGCUUAAAUGGGCCGUCGUGCCCAGGUCUCCCCUAUGUGUAUAUAUAAUAUAUUUAUCAUAGUAUAAAAAGUAUAAGGGCUGAGGAAAUGAAUAAGGGUAUCUAUUGUAGUAUAUAUAUGAAUGAACAAUCGGCUCAUUGAUUUAAUAUAAAUUUAAUGUAUUGUCAUUAGAUUUAUUUUGUGUACACAGUUUUAAAACUGUACUUAUGACGAAUCGACGUAGAAAUAUAAAAAUAAGGGGACUAAAAAGCGGUCACACCAUGACCGUAUAUGAACGCGGUUAUGGGAAUGGAAUCAUAAAAGCAUCAGUGUACGGAGGCAGUGAGCAGUAAAGGGCAAUCGUGUCCCCGUGAUACGGCCUCCAGGGCGACGAUCGUUAUAAUUUGGGGGGCCAUCAAUAUAUAUGUGUACAUAACAUGCGUAUAUAGCUAUAACAGCAUCGAAGCAAUGCAGCAGCAACCUGUUGCAACCCCCCCGGCUGCCGUGGGUUGUUCGUUGCCGAGUUACACAGCGGGAGGUAAUUCUCUUUAGUAGUAUGAGAAGAGAAGAAGCCGCCGAGAAAGAAUCAACCUCACGCAACGUCAAAUAUUCCAAUGUAUAAUAAAAAAUGUAUGAGAAAAGAGAAAAGAGGAAAAAAAGAAAAUAAAAAUAAAACGUGACACCCUCUUUAAUGGCCAGAGCUGUCUCCGUUAGUCUGUACACAUGUGUAUGAGUGUGUUAUUGCAUCAGAGGAAGAAACUUGGCUUCGUCUCAGGUGCUUUUGAACCUGUUAAACCGUCUCUACUGGUAUCCAGUAUCCAGUCUCCAGUCUUCAGUCUCCAGGGACCCUCGAAAAUCCAGUCGAAAUCGAAAUGGCCUCUCAUACCUGUAUUACAACCUUUUGUAUACCUGAGUAUACGCCUACGUGGGAGAUAAAACAACUCGUCAGACUGAAAAUAAAAAAUAGUCAGUGAGGCGGUGAGAUAGUUCAAGUUGUUUAGAAUCAUUAAAAAAAAUAUAAAAAAACAAUAAAAUAAAAUGAAAAAAAAAAAAGAAAGCAGCGGUAAGAAGUGCGAGAAAGGGAAAGACAGAGGUGCCAGAGGAAAAGAGAAGGCAAUUGGUAAUGGUGGAAUCCGGGAACCCAGAACCGUUCGAACGGUUGGCUGUGCCGCAGACGCAAGGUCAUUGUCCUUGGGGGAUCAACGACCCCUCACGAGGAGAGGGAUGUGUCGACGCGGUGGUGCGCUAUGUCGCGGUAAUGGAAAACGUCGCGUACGCACACACAACAAACACCCGACGAGGAUCUCUAUAUAAAUUCAUACAUGUAUAUGGAUAAAUAUACCCAAGUGCUCACUGUAUAUCUAUACAAGUUUCAAUGAAAUGAUUCAUCAAGUUAGCCGGAGCAUUCGUGCGAGACAGGAUCCAUCAGGAAUGAAAAGAAAACAACAGAGCUAACCGUUACUCGGUGGAAGAACUUGUACGCCACCUACGAAAAAGUUAAGACAACAGAAACGCGAGAUACGAGAUACGAGAUACGAGUAGAAUAGUAGAGUUAUAUAGAGGCACAAGAUGACGAUGAUCUGAGGAGUAGAACCUAAGAAGAACUCUGAUGCUCCAAGUACUGAGUAGUAGAUCCCUAUUACUACACCACGUGUGUACACACAUGUACACAUACAUCCACAUAACAAUGAAUAAGAACGGGGGAUCGUCAACUUGUGUACACAUUCAUAUGUAUAGAUAUAAUACGUAAGCUUACAAGAGUGUAUCGGCAUGGUCGCGCAAGUGGGUUUCGAGUCGAAUGAAAGGAUCGUUGUGCCGUGCACUGGCACAUAACGGGUAGCCUCAUCCCGACGAUCCCGACGCGGGCAUAAAUACAAACACCGAGAAGAGAUUCUAAAGGAGUGUCGUAUCUCAGAACAGAGCAAAGCAGAGUUGAGUUGAGAUGAGAUGAGCUGAGCUGAGCUGAG